CUGCUGGCACACUGAUGAUGGCGACAGCGAAUAGGACUUGCAUCCAAGGAAAGGACUUAGGACACUUUCAUCGAAGGAAAGGACUGACUGGUGGAGGAGAUAAUAAUAACAUGAUGCUGACACACUGAUGGUGGAAAAACGACGAACAAGGCAACUUUUUCAAUGAAAACUUUUACAAAAAAUCUUUAAAAAUACUUCUAUGCUUUUGAUGCCUCGACUAUUUUGUUGUUUAAAAGCAAAGAUAUACUACUUUAUUGGCCCUUUUACACUAUGUUGUUAACCCAAUACAUGUUGACACAAUACAUGUUCAAAUGUACUGACAGGGAGAAAAGGGAUAAAAACCUAACUUUGAUUUGAUGAAAACCGAACUCAGUUUACAUGAGGAAUGGAUAAAAACCUAACUUACACAAAAUUGCGUGUCGGAUAAACACCUAACUGACUAGUAUUCUAUAGAAAUGAAUGAGUUGACAUGUACAUGGUCUGAUUAUUGUAAACAUUACUUUAUAAGCUUGUCUUCAAACUUUAUCAUUAAUUUUACAAGAUGUUAUAUGUAUGCCCACUACAGUCAAAUAUUUUUUCAUAAUUUUAAUAUUAUGCAAAUAGCAAUGUUUGGAAAAAUCUGGAUAAACCCUAAAAAAUAACUCAGUAUAAAAGUCAAAAUUAUUAUAUUUAUAUAAGAAAUUAUUAAAUACCACCGAUGUUCGAAGUUCUGUAGUCCCAAACCCUCUCUCUCACACACACACACA